GCAGGUGUAGUUCAAUGGUAGAACCUUAGCCUUCCAAGCUGAUGACGUGGGUUCGAUUCCCACUACCUGCUCCA
rnacentral:tRNA from 1 species